rnacentral:rRNA from 1 species
AUUGAACGCUGGCGGCAUGCCUUACACAUGCAAGUCGAACGGCAGCGGACCUUCGGGUGCCGGCGAGUGGCGAACGGGUGAGUAAUAUAUCGGAACGUACCUUUCAGUGGGGGAUAACGUAGCGAAAGUUACGCUAAUACCGCAUAUUCUGUGAGCAGGAAAGCAGGGGAUCGCAAGACCUUGCGCUGAUUGAGCGGCCGAUAUCAGAUUAGCUAGUUGGUGAGGUAAAGGCUCACCAAGGCGACGAUCUGUAGCGGGUCUGAGAGGAUGAUCCGCCACACUGGAACUGAGACACGGUCCAGACUCCUACGGGAGGCAGCAGUGGGGAAUUUUGGACAAUGGGCGCAAGCCUGAUCCAGCCAUGCCGCGUGGGUGAAGAAGGCCUC